UUCAACGAGACGGCACACUCACCUUUGCGCAUCGCGUCGACCAAGACACCCUCCUUAAACACCAGCUUCCCCGUCUCGUCCGCGACAUAACUGCCAACGUACUCUUGCAGAUCCGUGUGUUCGUGAUUGUUUAUCCUCACGCAGACAUGGCCCGAGAUCUUCGCCAGUUUCAGUGCAGUUCGCGGCUAAAAAGAGGAGACCUCUAGCGGAGGGACGGAGAAGAGACAACCGGUGCAGAGUAGUACACAAAGUUCUUCAAAAAAGGAGCAAACCUAAGGAACCCUACGUUCUGCUCGACGAUGAAGUGAGAGCGAAACAGGAUGUCGAACUCUUGUCGAACCGGUGUGAUCAGGAACUUCAGGUCGACCGGCUUGUAACCGCCCAGCAAAUCUGUGCUCUCGCUCUGCUGGUUCAUGUUUAUCACCGUCAACCGGUGGCCGGUGCUCUUCGCCAGGUACUGAACCGUACUGGUCUUUCCAGUGCCAGUCUCGCCGACCAGCAACACCGGUUCUUUCUGCGCCACGCAGCUGGCUAUGCGCUCCAGCAGGCAUACGGACGGUUGCGUGAACGAAAAAUUGCUCCUGCUGGAAGACAGACUGUAAAUACACACCUUGGUUGGUUACCGAGCAGCAGAAGACGUCUAUAGCGUCCUGAAGUAGCUUCAAGGCUGAGUUCGACGAUGAGACGUCAAAGUCGAUGACAGCUCUGGAGCACCACUUUAUCAAAUCUCGAGUCGAUGUUUGUCGUCCGGUCUUCAGUAUCCCGUCGUUGCCC